UGCAAGUCGGACGGAGCUUAGAGAGCUUGCUUUUUAAGCUUAGUGGCGAACGGGUGAGUAACGCGUGAGUAACCUGCCCUAGAGUGGGGGACAACAGUUGGAAACGACUGCUAAUACCGCAUAAGCCCACGGUACCGCAUGGUACUGAGGGAAAAGGAUUUAUUCGCUUUAGGAUGGACUCGCGUCCAAUUAGCUAGUUGGUGAGGUAACGGCCCACCAAGGCGACGAUUGGUAGCCGGACUGAGAGGUUGAACGGCCACAUUGGGACUGAGACACGGCCCAGACUCCUACGGGAGGCAGCAGUGGGGGAUAUUGCACAAUGGGGGAAACCCUGAUGCAGCGACGCCGCGUGGAGGAAGAAGGUUUUCGGAUUGUAAACUCCUGUCGUUAGGGACGAUAAUGACGGUACCUAACAAGAAAGCACCGGCUAACUACGUGCCAGCAGCCGCGGUAAAACGUAGGGUGCAAGCGUUGUCCGGAAUUACUGGGUGUAAAGGGAGCGCAGGCGGGAAGACAAGUUGGAAGUGAAAACCAUGGGCUCAACCCAUGAAUUGCUUUCAAAACUGUUUUUCUUGAGUAGUGCAGAGGUAGAUGGAAUUCCCGGUGUAGCGGUGGAAUGCGUAGAUAUCGGGAGGAACACCAGUGGCGAAGGCGGUCUACUGGGCACCAACUGACGCUGAGGCUCGAAAGCAUGGGUAGCAAACAGGAUUAGAUACCCUGGUAGUCCAUGCCGUAAACGAUGAUUACUAGGUGUUGGGGGAUUGACCCCCUCAGUGCCGCAGUUAACACAAUAAGUAAUCCACCUGGGGAGUACGACCGCAAGGUUGAAACUCAAAGGAAUUGACGGGGGCCCGCACAAGCAGUGGAGUAUGUGGUUUAAUUCGAAGCAACGCGAAGAAUCUUACCAGGUC
rnacentral:rRNA from 1 species